CAGAAUUCUCCAAAGCAUUAGGGUGUCGGUGUACAUGAAUGCAUGCAGUAAAAAUCUUCUUUUCACAACUUACUAGGUCAUCGAUAGCAUUCUAUCGCUCAAAAGAAAGGUAAAUAUGUAGAAAUUAUAAUCUUUGUGUGUACUAUCACAGAUGUAAAUUUGACAUACAGUCGAACUUCCGGUUAACGGACACCAACGACUUGGAACGUUUCGAAUGACCGACAAUUAUUACGUUAGCUUGAGAUGUCCGCUACAUGGAGUGCCUGUUAAUACCAGUGAAAUGAAUAUAACUGUAACUCUAUACCUUCAGAUAAACUGCCUAUCUUUUUCUUGAAGCCAAAUCUGACCCCUGGACACGCGUGUUUAAAUCAUGAUUGACUGAUUGAUGCGUGAAAAGACUGGGACGAAAAGACUAGGACUGGCCUUCGAGUUUGGCUUCAAAUUCCGGUUGGACGGGUAGCGUUCCAGUUAUAUUCAUUUCACUGGUUAAUACUGCAACAGGUUCGACUGCGUCUUGAACAUUGCUUUAUCCCCGAGUCAAUGGCGAGCCAACGUAUUUUCCCCCUAAAAAAUGCACUACUUUCGUUUUCAAUGUAGCUGUACGUUUGCUAAAUUACCCUGUUUAAUUUAAGAAAAAAAGUUAAAAUGUAAAGGAUAGCAAAUACAUUUCAAGACCGAACUGAACUGAAUUACCCAAUCAUUUGAACUUAUAGUUUGUUUAUUAAGUUAAACAGUUCAUCGGCACAAACAGUUUUAUAUAGUUGAAUGAACAUUUCAAAACAUUUUACGAAGGGUUUCUGUUAAAUUUUACAUUAAGUCAAAGCUCACAAAAUGCAAAAUAACAUACUAACAGUGACAACAGUAUAUAUUUUAGACUUCGAGCGAUCCCUCCUUUCCGCGGGUUUAGAUUUCCGGGCAUGCGAAAGGAAAGGAGGGACUGCCGACAACACAUCAAGAAACGAAAUAAGCGUUGCCCACACAACGCAAAAUUCCCAUUGGUCGAAAUCCAUACGCCUGUCAAUCAAAUCGGAACGCACUAAUUAUGCUAUAAAUAAUUUCCAGACUGAAUGUUGAUUUUAUAAAUAAACAUUUCAUAUUGAAUGUAAAAAUGUUACUUACUAAAAGCUAAACGAAUGUAUUUUAUAGUGAAGAGAUUUUUUUGACUGAAAUGUAUACAUCAUUUAUUUUGUCGCUAGGUGACAGGAGGUGAAUCCACGCCAAAUGUUCGAGAUUUUACCGACGAGCAAAUGAAAGCUGGUCAGAACGUAAUUGGACUGCAAAUGGGCUCAAACAAAGGAGCAUCGCAAAAGGGUAUGACAGCUCCUGGUGCCGUCAGACAAAUCCGCCAUGAGGAUAAUAUGGAUCGAACUUAAUACUCUGAACACAAUUGCAAAGAUCUUCAAAUUUCGCUAGGCCCUAGCUGAUUGUAAUUUUCAUGCUGUAAAUGAAUGAAAUUAUGACUUCCUUCAAAA